GCGGGUUUAAGUUAAGUUUAAACUAGCGGUCUUCAAAACUGAAAAUUUAUACCCGUU
rnacentral:tRNA from 1 species